UACGAAGGGGGCUAGCGUUGUUCGGAAUUACUGGGCGUAAAGCGCACGUAGGCGGAUUGUUUAGUUAGGGGUGAAAUCCCGGGGCUCAACCCCGGAACUGCCUUUAAUACUGGCAAUCUAGAGUCCGAGAGAGGUGAGUGGAAUUCCGAGUGUAGAGGUGAAAUUCGUAGAUAUUUGGAGGAACACCAGUGGCGAAGGCGGCUCACUGGCUCGGUACUGACGCUGAGGUGCGAAAGCGUGGGGAGCAAACAGG
rnacentral:rRNA from 1 species